rnacentral:rRNA from 1 species
CAGUCGCCGCGGGAAUACGAAGGUCCCGAGCGUUGUUCGGAAUCACUGGGCGUAAAGGGAGCGUAGGCGGCGUGGUAAGUCAGAUGUGAAAUCCCGGGGCUCAACCCCGGAACUGCAUCCGAUACUGCCGUGCUAGAGGAUUGGAGAGGUAGCUGGAAUUCUUGGUGUAGCAGUGAAAUGCGUGGAGAUCAAGAGGAACACUCGUGGCGAAAGCGAGCUACUGGACAAUAUCUGACGCUGAGGCUCGAAGGCCAGGGUAGCGAAAGGGAUUAGAUACCCGUGUAGUCCCUGUCUCUUAUAC